ACUCCGUUAGCUCAGCGGAAGAGCAUCUGACUUUUAAUCAGAGGGUCGGGAGUCCGAAUCCCCCACGGAGUA
rnacentral:tRNA from 1 species